UUGGCUGAUAACUCUAGCUUGAAUAGAGAGAUAACAUUGAAAAAUGAGAAUUGAUGACUCUAGAAUGAGUAGAAUGCUUAAUUGGACAAUUAGUAUGUGAAUUAGAUCGAGUGGCAUCUAACUUAGUGUUAAGGAACAUAGGUCGUGAGUAGACCUAUAAUCAAAUAGAUCGAGUGGCAUCUAACCUAGUGUUAUUAAACAUAGGUCGUGAAAUGAAAAGUACUUAACCUAGAGUCAAGUGAACCAAGGUUAGAAAGAAUAAUGAUCCUAGUGUAAUAAACCUAGGUUAAGAAUGUGAAAGCAAUAAAUCUAAUGGGUGAACUUAGGUUGAGUAAAGGCUUAGACCUAGAGAGGUCAGUUCCAUAGGGUUAAGACCAACCCCUAUGUGAUCUGAAAUGGAUUCCGGAAUCCCAAGGCUAAAAGGAUACACCCAAAGUGGUGUCGGGUGUGUGCGAUGAUUGCGCCGCCCAAGGGCUAAAGAACCUUUGUCGUGGCGUGUGCGACGAUUUCGCCGCCGGAUGGUUAGCCAGUUUGUGGAUCCUACCGCCUGUUGACUGAACCACUGUCGUGGUGUUUGUGCGACGAUUUCGCCGCCGGGUGGCUAAGUCAUGGACCUAGGCCGUUGUUGGGUGAGGUGCGAUUCGUCCGCCGCCAGACGGCUAGGACAGGAGUACGGUGAGCUGUUGCCAGCUGAGGUGCAUGUGAGAGUUCCUUCACCUCGAGCUAGACAGUGCGCGGACUAUCCGCGAUUGAUUGACUCAAGACCGAGUCGGGUGGCAUAGAGAACUAAGGUAAGAGAAACCUUAGGAAAGAAUGGCCAGUAGAAAAGUGCGACAAAGUGUAAAGAAUAAAGAAUAAGUAAAGAAUAAAGUUCGGCUAAGGAAUAAGAAUAGCUGAUUAGUAAAGAAAGGUUACAAGUAAAGAAUAGCUAAGAGCUAAAAGUAAUUAAAUGACAAGAGUAAAGAAUGAUUAAGAAUAUAAGUAGCGUUAAAGUAACCUACUUGCAUGAUUACAGGUAUUGCAUAUUGCAUUUCGUGAGGCAUGACAUGUAUUUCAAUUGAAUAUAUAUAUCUGUUGUAUAUUGUUGAACUAACAUGUUGCAGUGCCUCGUUAGACCUGUUGGUUGAGCUGGUUCUCUUGGGUGGCUAAACCCACUGAGGACUAUGGACAAUAGUCUCACCCCCGUGUUGCUGUUUUGGGGGUACAGGUACACACGUGUGCGGCGCGGCGGCGCAAGGCGAGGGCGUAGUUCUGCAGAUAGCGCCCUACCCCAGAGACCAGAGCUAGCAGUACCCCAUCUAUAUAGCUUAGGGGUAAAGGAAAUGAAAAGAAUACAAUGUAUCAAACUUGUAGUAAGUAAAUGUUGUAAUAACUUAGAUUGCAUUUGGAUGAAAAAGAAUGGAAACUGUGAUGUAAAAACUAUGAAAGUGAAUGAAUGUAAUAACUUAGGAUGUGUUUAUGUUGUAUGAUACCUUCCACUUGAAAUCUUGAUUGAUAUCCGUUCCUGGUUGGAACCUUCGUGAAUUGUAUUGAUUGCGAUGCUUUGAAUGUACAGGGGAGACUCUGUCCGUAGUACAAGGGAAACCUUGUCCAUUCGGCGAUGUCGGCGGCGCCGGGACCUUGGCCAAAUAGGCGGGUGGUCGCGGGCUGUGACAGUUGUGGUAUCAGAGCAUAAAGUAGAGAAUGGGAAUGGCUUAGACUGACCUAGGAGACCCUAGGAUAGUAAAACCAUAGAAGAAUAAGGCUCGUGAGAGACGAGGACUCAUGAUUCGUGGCGAAAGGUUAAUGGAUUGGGUUGUGUUGUAAACCUCUAAGACGGAUAUUAGAGGUAGACUCGAGGUGUUGUUUAUUCUCAGCCAAGGAUGUUCAUGUUGGGCGUACGACAACAUGAAACCGAGUGAUGUGAAUAAACACCCUUGCGUGACUUUCGCCUGAUUGGCUUUUGAGCCGGUGUUAGUGGUCUCGUGUUCGACCCAAGUUGGUCGAGAACUAAUCGAGUUGUCGUGUUUCAGGAAGCGAUGGCACCGCGUAGGCGAUCUUCUUCCAGAUCGGCGCGGGAGGGGACAAGUGGUGUUCCCGAGCAAGUCGACGCGAGCGAAGGCGCAGAGCUUCGUGAUCAGUUGGCCACACUCAUUGGAGUGAUGAGGCAACAAGCUGAUGUGGUGCAGAGGCAGCAGGAGGCUGCUAUGCGCCAGGAAGAGCGAAUGGAAAGACUCCAAGAAACGGUGGACCAGCUGGUGGGUGCACCAGCUGCGGCUCGUCGAGAACGGCCGGGAGUCGCGGCGGAGAUGUUCCCGUCGGGGUCGGGCGAUCCGACUCCUGUUAGUUCAGAGGUGGCGGCAGAAAGGGAGCGAGCUUUGGCUGCCCUCAUGGCUUUCAAGAAAUUUGAUCCGCCUACCUUCGAUGGUGAGGAUCCAGAUCCGUGGAUCGUGGAGAUGUGGAUUGAUGCCAUGGAAACGCUCUUCGAGGAUCUGUACACGUUGGAGCGAGACAAGGUAAACCUAGUCGCGCAUUAUCUCAAACAGUCGACGAAGGUGUAGUGGAAAGGCGUCAAGCAUGAUCGACCGCCUAGUCUCCCUCCUAUGACGUGGGAAGAAUUUCGGGGAUUGGUGUUCUCUGCUUAUUUCCCCGAUAGCGAGAAGCGGAAGCUCAAGGAAAGGUUCCUUAAGCUGCGGCAAGGAAGUCGCACGGUCAGGCAAUAGGAGCGGGAGUUUUUCCGUAUCGUGCAUUGUAUCCCAAACGUGGUGCGAGAUGACAAGGACAGGGCCGACUGCUUCGUGCGUGGACUUCAGCCAGAUCUUUACCAGGCGGUGCUGGUACUCAAGUUGCAGAUUUUUGCUGAAGUCCUGGAUCGGGCCUUGUGGAUAGAACAGGGCAACGCCUUUAUGCGGGAAGAGCGAGAGGCAUAUUACAAGGAAAAGGGGAAAGGACGACCGACAGGUGGAUCCAGUAGUCAGUCAAGUUCCCAACGGACUUUGACGAGUUCGCACUCGCGAUCCCGAGCUCCGGGGACAUACCGCAUUCAGUCCUCGGCGAAAUGUGCUAUUUGUGGAGGCCCUCAUUUCCCACGACAGUGUGAGCAACGUGAAGGCAAGUACUUCAAGUGUGGGCUGCCGGGUCAUAUGUGGGACGAGUGUCCGCGUGGUGACGGCCGGGCCUUGACACUGGCGACGGCCCAUCCCUCUCUGGGACAACCUGCAGGUGUGCCACCUGCGGCAUGGUCGGGAGAGCGGCCGUUGAGGACGAUGCAACCAGAGGGUUCGCGACGAGCGCCAGGUGGGCAUCGGUAAGCGACCCGAGUUGCAGAGCCUGCCGUUGCUGACGUCAUCGUGGCAGGUAUGAGUUAAUUGAGCAAGCAUGUGCUUUUACUAAUCUCAAGUUGGUGCAUAGCAUGCAUUUGUUGUUGGUCGGUUGCUACUAAUUAUAUAUUGCAUAGUAGGGACCGAAUAGUCGGGUAAGUAGACGCCCGUACAUGCUUGCAUUGUGAGAAGUGGCACCUGCUGGUGCAAGUAGAAAGCCAAGUGGUGCUAGCUAAUGGCUAGUGAUGAUUCUCCGGUACGGAAUGAGGCUCGUGGAGAACAUGGUCUAGUAAGUGACUCUCGAAAUAAUGGGUUGAAAAUUGUGAGAGUUGAGCCUUGAUGUUGAGGAUACUCGAAAGACACGGGAGUUGAGAAUGUAUUCCGGUAGAUCGAACAGUGAAGGUAGAAUCACUGUUGAGAGAGUAACCGUAUAGUUGCCGAAUACGGGCACGUAGGCCUAGUAGUACCUCAAGUUGAGGUCGGCGAGUCCUGCUCGUGUAGUCGGUGUGCAUAGGCAAGGUUGCCUGAUGCUAGAUUUCGUGGAACGCUUUAGAGGCGUAGAGCGCUCGAGUGUAGUUACUCGUGAAGUGCGGUUUUGAUUCAGCCGGUUGAGUGAAUUGGCAGUAGCACUUUAGCAGGGCUAAGUGUGAAGCGGGCCAUGGAUCACUCGUAGGGCUGGUGGCUCGCACUAGGUACCUGGGGGCCGAUAGAGUGUGUAGCUCUGUAGAGCAUGUCGUUUAGGACGACGACGACGAGUGGUGCUUGAGGAUGACCCGUGCCUGGACCGUUUGUGAACUGUGUAGCCUGGGCCCAUUGGGCAGGCGCAGUCAGCUGUGAGAGACAGCGGCCCGAUACCUACUGGUAGGGCAUAGUGUUGGUCAGGACGGUAGUCCGAGCUUGGACAUAAGUACGUGGAAUGCCACGCGAUAGAUCGUGAGAUUGAUGGCACACCAAGUGUGUAGUGACCCAACCCGAGGACUUGACGUGGUCUAGGAUCUUGGUUGCACCUGGUUGGAGUGUGUGUGAAUUCUCCAAUGAGAAUUUCGCCCAAUGAUGAUUGGAUCUACGAUGCGGGCAAGAGACGCUAUGCGUAGUUGUGACAGGUAUAGGCGGUAGGCCUACGUAAUGAUUAUGAUCGUUGGUCCGCCUGUGAAAACCGAUGAUCAGUGCGGCAAGCAACUCUGUUAGUGAGUUGGGCUUGGAUUCACGAACGGAGGGUUCGUGUGAUGUUGAACGUGGCUUGUGGUAGUAAAGGAUAAAGAGAAAAGUAAAGUGUUCUCUAGGAGACACUUGAAUAAGAAAUAGCCACGUGAGGGUUGGUGUAAGGAAGUGAAUUCUCGAAAUGCGAGAGUUGGACUUCGCUCAAAAUCGACAAAUUGUCGAGUGGUUGUGCUUCGGAAAUGCCGAAGAGGUCAAAUACACCAAAGGUGCAUUGCAACGGAUCUGCGAGAGCAAGUGUGCAAAAAUCUGCACUUGGCAGAUUUGCUCUCGGGGACCGAUCCCUGUCAAGGAAGGACCGGUCCCCCGUAGCUGGUUGGUGCGAGGUUGCGUGAUGCAACCGGUCCCUUGGCCAGAGGGACCGGUCCCCCGUAUGCGAAACCGGCGAGAAGAGGAAAUUGGCUAAGUCCUGCGAGAGCAAGCUCUCGGGGACCGGUCUCUAGUGGACAGACCGGUCUCCGGGGGACCGGUCCUCCAGGGACAGACCGGUUCCCGUAAGUGUGUUCAGGCUGAAGGCUCUCGGGGACCGGUCCCUGGCAGGGAGAGACCGGUCCCUCUACACAUAAAAUUUUCCAGGCAGGCUGGGUCAUGUUGGAGGAGUUGGAAUUGUUUGAGUUUCGAGGACGAAACUCUUAUAAGGAGGGGAGAAUGUAACAUACCGAAUUUUAAAUAUAAAAGAGAAAAAUAAAUAAAAAUAGUAUGAGAUACUAUUUUAUUGGAUUUAGAGAAGUGAAAUAUCGGUUGGGAACGACCUGUGCUGAAAUCGGAGCGAAAACAGAAGAUUUAGAAUUUUCUGUUGGAAACGGGACUGAUAAAUUAGCAGAAAAUGCACAGUCUCAGAAAAUUAUAAAAAAUUAGAGGAUAAGUCAGAAAUAUUUUUAUGAGGCUAGAUUUGAAGUUUCAUAUUUUUCUGACGCCCGUAGAGAGAGAAAUAGCAUCCGAAAGCUAUCUGAUAAAGAUUGCAGUUCGGUACAGUUUUCAGUGACCAAACGGGGUCGAAACUGAAAUAUUAAAAUUUCUUUGGACUUAUUAAGUAAAACCGAGCAUGCCUGUCAAAUUUGAGCUCAAACGGACAUUCAGAAGGGCUCCGGCGAAAAAUAAACUGCCCGAAGUGAAUAGUGCGUAGUUGAGGGGCAAAAUGGUAAAAAGGGUUUAAAACCCCUUUUCUUCUUCUCCUCCCAACCGUGGCUGCCCCAACCGCACACACCACACACGCAUACACAAGAACACACACACGCAUGGAAAGGAAAGGAGAGAAAUCCCUUUCUCUCUCUAAAUCUCUCCCAAAAUGGAUGGAUUUGGUGGAGAUUGAAGCUUGGAGGUGGAUCGCCUUCGUCUUCUUCAUCUUCUCCAUGGUUUGGAGCUCAUUUUGAGGUGAGCUUCUUGAGCCCUUUAAUGGUAGAUCUUUAAUGCUUGGUUUAAAUACCUUAUAAAUGGAUUUAGAGGAGUCCUAGCAUGCUAUCUAGAUGAUUAAUGCUUGAAUCAUGGAUCAAUUUAGUGAUUUCUUGCAUAGUUGUAACCUAGGGCUCCAAAAUGCAAACUUUCAAAAUAUGAGGGUUUGAUCUCAUUUGACCCUUCGUAAACCUAAUUGCUAGGUAACGAAACGCGUUGGCGAAGACGGUUCGGCAAUCCGACGAGCCGUUACAAAGUUAUUAAAGAAAUGGACGUUUAGGCUUCGGGUCCGCCGGGAGGGCCGAGGCGACGUCGUAAAAUCAUGGAAAUGGAUUUGAGGCAUCGUGGCACAUAACCGAAGACCUAUAAUUUUCGGGGCUGCGAAGCGGAGCACGGUUGAGGCGCAGUUGCAGUAUCGGGCCGUGCCGGAUACGGGUGCCGCGGGAGGCCGAUUGCAAGUGUCGACAAGCAAUCGGAACGCGAAUUAAGGUGGGUUGUGUUUACCGAAGCGACUAGGUCGCCUUUAUGUCUAAGAAACUAAGAAUCCAUGUUGAUGCAUAUAAAUGUAAAUGAAGCAUGUAAAUGAUGCAUGUAGCUAAAUAAUGCAUGUUGAUAGUAUGAUGUAAAUGCUAAAUAGAAUGCAUUAUGAGCAAGUUACAUAAUGCUAAAUAAUGUAAUGUAGAAAUGCUAGAAUGCAUUAUGAGCAAGUUACAUAAUGCUAAAUAAUGUAAUGUAGAAAUGCUAGAAUGCAUAAUGAGCAAGUUAUAUGAUGCAUGUUUAUAGUAUGAUGUAAAUGCUAAGUAGAUGCAUAUAAAUGAUAUAUGAGAUUAUAAACGCAUGAUUAGCAUUAUGAGAUCAUAGAUGCAUGCUUAGCAUUGUGAGAUUAUAUAUGCAUAUGAACUUGGUUGAUAACUCUAGCUUGAUUAGAGAGAUAACAUUGGAAAAUGAGAAUUGAUAACUCUAGAAUGAGUAGAAUGCUUAAUUGGACAAUUAGUAUGUGAAUUAGAUCGAGUGGCAUCUAACUUAGUGUUAAGGAACAUAGGUCGUGAGUAGACCUAGAAUCAAAUAGAUCGAGUGGCAUCUAACCUAGUGUUAAUAAACAUAGGUCGUGAAAUGAAAAGUACUUAACCUAGAGUCAAGUGAACCUAGGUUGGAAAGAAUAAUGAUCCUAGUGUAAUAAACCUAGGUUAAGAAUGUGAAAGCAAUAAACCUAAUGGGUGAACUUAGGUUGAGUAAAGGCUUAGACCUAGAGAGGUCAGUUCCAUAGGGUUAAGACCAACCCCUAUGUGAUGUGAAAUGGAUUCCGGAAUCCCAAGGCUAAAAGGAUACACCCAAAGUGGUGUCGGGUGUGUGCGACGAUUUCGCCGCCCAAGGGCUAAAGAACCAUUGUCGUGGCGUGUGCGACGAUUUCGCCGCCGGAUGGUUAGCCAGUUUGUGGAUCCUACCGCCUGUUGACUGAACCACUGUCGUGGCGUUUGUGCGACGAUUUCGCCGCCGGGUGGCUAAGUCAUGGACCUAGGCCGUUGUUGGGUGAGGUGCGAUUCGUUCGCCGCCAGACGGCUAGGACAGGAGUACGGUGAGCUGUUGCCAGCUGAGGUGCAUGUGAGAGUUCCUUCACCUCGAGCUAGACAGUGCGCGGACUAUCCGCGAUUGAUUGACUGAAGACCGAGUCGGGUGGCAUAGAGAACUAAGGUAAGAGAAACCUUAGGAAAGAAUGGCCAGUAGAAAAGUGCGACAAAGUGUUAAGAAUAAAGAAUAAGUAAAGAAUAAAGAUCGGCUAAGGAAUAAGAAUAGCUGAUUAGUAAAGAAAGGUUACAAGUAAAGAAUAGCUAAGAGCUAAAAGUAAACAUUAAAUGACAAGAGUAAAGAAUGAUUAAGAAUAUAAGUAGCGUUAAAGUAACCUACUUGCAUGAUUACAGGUAUUGCAUAUUGCAUUUCGUGAGGCAUGACAUGUAUUUCAAUUGAAUAUAUAUAUCUGUUGUAUAUUGUUGAACUAACAUGUUGCAGUGCCUCGUUAGACCUGUUGGUUGAGCUGGUUCUCUUGGGUGGCUAAACCCACUGAGGACUAUGGACAAUAGUCUCACCCCCGUGUUGCUGUUUUGGGGGUACAGGUACACACGUGUGCGGCGCGGCGGCGCAAGGCGAGGGCGUAGUUCUGCAGAUAGCGCCCUACCCCAGAGACCAGAGCUAGCAGUACCCCAUCUAUAUAGCUUAGGGGUAAAGGAAAUGAAAAGAAUACAAUGUAUCAAACUUGUAGUAAGUAAAUGUUGUAAUAACUUAGAUUGCAUUUGGAUGAAAAAGAAUGGAAACUGUGAUGUAAAAACUAUGAAAGUGAAUGAAUGUAAUAACUUAGGAUGUGUUUAUGUUGUAUGAUACCUUCCACUUGCAAUCUUGAUUGAUAUCUGUUCCUGGUUGGAACCUUCGUGAAUUGUAUUGAUUGCGAUGCUUUGAAUGUACAGGGGAGACUCUGUCCGUAGUACAAGGGAAACCUUGUCCAUUCGGCGAUGUCGGCGGCGCCGGGACCUUGGCCAAAUAGGCGGGUGGUCGCGGGCUGUGACAAUCAAUCCUACAGUUGAGGAUUCCAAGUUCAAUCCAUUCCUUAACUUUAAGGAAGACUAUGCUCAAUUGACCCUUAGUACUAAGGUUGAAUGUCAUAAUAUCUCAAUCGUUCUUGUUCUUGCAUUCUUUACUACCACUAAUGUCAUAUACACUAUCAAGUUCUUGAACUCAUGCCACACUUGUUCUCUAAAUGCUAGAUUUUUGUCCUCAUGCCAAAUGCCACACUUGUUUACUAAGGAUUCUAGACUCGUCGAUGUCAUUUGCUAGAUCUAUGUCAAAGUGUCACUUUUCGUUUACUAACCCUUCUAGGUUCUUGUCACAAUCAUGCAUACAUAGGGAUCAUCAUUCUCACACCCUUACAAAUAUUUAACAUGCAUUUGAAUUUACAUUAAACUAUAACAAAACUCACAAUUGACCCUAUUAUGCAAGAUGCUCAAAAAUGCACAUAUACUCAAAAUAUAACAAUUAGACAUAGAAAGACUUCCGAUGUCCUUGGAAUGCACCACCUACCUUAGAUGGUUACAAGGAUACUUCGGUGAAUUUCUUGGAAUUUUUUUGAAACCCUAAUCCGCGUGCUGCGGCUAUCUGUACGGAAAACGAUGUUUUUGUCAAUAACUUUGCAUACACUCGUCGGAUUGUCGAACCGAGCGUUCCAACGCGUUUAAAAUACCCUCAAUUAGGUUUCUACAUGAUCAAAAUAUAUCAAAACCUAACUUGGGCAAAACCCCUCUUUGGGAUGCCCUAACAUGCAAUUUUUGUAUUUUUCCUAGAUUGAUCUCAUUACUAAGAAAAAGAAAGCUUAGAAUCACUUGGGAAGCUUUCUAACAAGGUUUCUAAACUUUUAGAACCAUCCCUAGAGCAUCUACUUUGAGCCCUAGUGAUCCACCAUGAGAGGGGUCCAAGAAAUCCAUGUUUUUCAUGGAGUCAUGGUUCUUAGAGGAUUUCCUCACUUGUAGAGAGAUCAAGACCCAAAAAUCUAAGGUCUAAACCCAAACCCUAAACCCAUUUUUGCAUAAGGACUCACUUUUGCCCAAGCUCCAUCAAAGCCUACUUGUUGGAGAGCUUCUAGGAACACCAAAGCCACCAAAAUCCAUUUCUCCAAGCUCUUCUCCACCUUCUCCAAGCUCUAGGGCUUGCUUUCUAGAGAGAGAAAGAGAGGAAAAUGAGAGAGGGGGAUGUGUGUGGCUGUGGGAGGGAGAGAGAGAGGUGUUGGGGAGUUAACAUGUUGCUACAAUUGCAACUAGGCCCUCCAUUUCUUUUUAUUUGCGUCAGACCUCACUGGGCUGUCUGGGGCCUCUUGUACCGGUACAAGGAUUCUUGUACGGGUACAAGGCCAAACAGUGAGCCAAACCCGAGAGCUGCCUCUUGGGUUCGCAGGGUCUGUACCGGUACAAGGGGUCUUGUACCGGUACAAGGCCUGGACUGCACCAACCCGAGAGCUGCCUCUCGGGUUCGCAGGGUCUGUACCGGUACAAGGGGUCUUGUACCGGUACAAGGCCUGGACUGCACCAAUCCGAGAGCUACUCAGCUCGGAUUGCGCUGGUUGUACCGGUACAACUAUCACCUUGUACCGGUACAACAGCUCCAGAAUGUUGUUUUAGGCUUCGAUUCGACUCUACCUCGCGUCGGUCGAUGCUAAAACCAUUCUAAGUCUUCCCAAACUCAUUUUUAGCCCUUCCAACAUUAUUGGAAUGCAAGAGGAACUUGUCUAUCGUUUUCUUUCGAUGCUUUAACCAAUUUGGUCAAAGUUCAAUUAUCGUUUUCGGGUUUCGAUAUGUUACAUGCAGCUUGCCUCCUUCGGACCUGUCGAUCGAGCUUUUCCCUUGAGCGGCCGUACCCACUGGGAACUAUGGAGUUAGUUCUCACCCCACGUUGCUUUUGGGGUGUUACAGGUUCACACGUGAGCGGCGCGGCCACGCGAGGCGAGGGCGUAGCUCCGUAGAUAGAGCCCUACCACCGUGACCAGAGAUAGCAGUACCCAAGUCAGCCAAGCUAGGGGUUGUAGAAAAUGAAAGCAAAAUGAUCAAACUUGUAAUAAUCUUGUGAUGAUUGAUUGUAUUCGGAAGUUUAAAUGUAUUUGAAAGGAAAAGAAAUGUAAAUAAUAUCAAGUGAAUGAAUGUAAUAACUUAGGAUGUGUUUAUGUUGUUUGAUACCUUCCUUAUGCAAUCGUUGUAUGUUGAAUACUGUUCUUGGUUGGAACCUGUUGUAAUUGUAUUGAUUGCGACGCCUAGGACGUACAGGAAAAACUCUGUCCGUUCGGCGGUCUGUCGGCGUGCCGAACCUGACCAAAUAGGCGGGGCUCGGGGCGUGACAACACUGGACCUUUGUAAAUUGUGAGGUUCGAGUGUUUGAUUUGUAUUCUGAGCUUUUCCACAUUUUUUGGAAGGUCGUAGAUAGUGUUUCGACCUAUGGCUCGCAUCUCGAGAAUCGAGAUUUUAAACUUAGCGCUAAGGUCUCCAAAGAGAAGGACUUAGGCUGCUCUCGGGUUGGUUUCUGCAGAGUGUGGUACCGGUACAGCAUUGAGCUUGUACCUGAAUGAGGGGUGGUACCGGUACAACAUCGGGUUUGUACCGGUAUCAGGCAUCGUUUUCUGCCAACCCGAGGCUCGGGUUUGCGUGCACAGUGUUUGAUACCGGUACUCUUGCCCGAUGGUACCAGUACGCAGUGCAGUCCGCAAACUGCUUGUUUUGGGAGGGUGUUUUUACAAUUAUAGCAUCUCUAUAUAACACCCCACGCCCCUUAGGUGUUUCCCUGAGCUUGGAAACACAGGAGGAAGGGAGGAAAGCCCUCCACUUCCACCCUUUGGUUUUUUUUGAUUUAUGUUGGAAUUUUUCAGAUUUAAUCCUCUCUUUUUGUCCCUUUUUGCUUGUUGGUAGUAUUUCCACCAUGGUUGAAGGCUUGGAGCUUGGAGAAAAGCUUGUUGGAGGAGAGAUCUUCAACCCUAGUUGAUUUCAAGCCUUAUUUGGAGCUUCUCUUGAGGUUAGUAAUAUAUUUCUUGCUUUAGAUUCAUGUUUUAAUUGAUUUCUUGAGAUGAAACCCUAGAAUGUGAAACCUAGGGUUUAUUUUGGGGGUUUUUAAUUUGUAGCUCUUGGGGCUCAAUUGAUAGGUGUAGAACAUCUCGUUGGGAUAGAUUUGAAGGGCUCUAGCAUCCAUUUGAAAUUUGAGAGGGAUUUUCUAAACAUUAGGUGAGUUUUGCCUUAUUGUUGGAUUUGUUAAAGAUGAACACUUUGGGUGUUCGGUUAUUUUGUUUAACCCUCUUAGAAUUCUCUUUAGGGAGCUAAGAGACUUAUGGACAACUUCUUUUGUGUAAACGAAAGGGUUGCAAGAAGCCUCGGUGAGUUUGACCUCACCAAAAUGAGAAAAUCUCACCUAUGUCUUUUUAAAUAUUAUAAAAUAGAAAAUCAUGCAUAUUCAUGCUAGAUAAGGCAUAAAUGAAUUUUAGAAUGCUUGAAAUACACAUAUUAUAUACAAUGCAAAUUUGUACCUCUAUGUAGUAGAGAGUUAUAUAUGUCGGAAUCUUGCAUAUAAAUAGCAUUCUUAUAUGUGGCUUGGGAUCAUGUUUCAUGUAGUGAAAAUGACAAGUAUAAUAUGCCCUUGGACAUAGAUCUUAUAUUGGACAUAGGAGAAAACAUAAUGCCAUAAAGAGGCAUUAGACUAUAGUGAUGUGUGAAUUAGUAAGCUAAUGUCAUAAAGUGGCAUUAGGCUUAGAAUGUACUUGGACAUAGUAAGCUAAUGUCAUAAAGUGACAUUGGGCUUAAAAUGUGAUUGGACUUAGUAUGUUAAUGUCAUAAAGUGACAUUGAACUUAAUAUAUAGUUAAACCUUACCUUGGAACAUUAAACUAGACCGUUGGGGUUGCUAAUGAUUAUUACCAUGUUAGAGACAUGAUGACCGGGUUCUUGAGAUGACGACUAUGCUUGCUUACUAUUUGUGCUCAUUCGCACAUACUUGUGAGGGUCGCUCCCUACAAGCCGGCACUCCGGAGUUAGCCUACACGACAUAUACUCGCUUGUGCGGUAUUGAGAAGCCUACGGGGCCGGGUAGGAUAGACUCAUUCCUAGAGUGGGAAUAUUGAGCUACCACUGGCAUUUAGGCGGCACAAGCCGGACUACACUUGUAUAGGUCCUAAAAUGAGAUUGGAUAAUGACAUUAAACCAUAAUAUGACAAUCACUACUAGAUAGUUGUAGUAGUUGAAUUUCUUGAACAUGCUUGUGGCAUAGUAUUAAACACUUGGUUGAUAUACUUGGACAUAUAGUAUACUUGAUAGGGUUGCUUGUUGCAUUAUAGUAUACUUGUAUGACAUGUUUAAAGCACACUAGUAUAUAUUCUAAUGAUAUACUCAUCCAUGUUAGGCUAGCUAAUGCAAUUGUGGAACUUCAUGUUAUGUAAUGGCAUAGUAGCUAACAAAUUUAAUUCAUGUUUUAUUAUUCAUACUAUCGCUUCCAAUUAAGUGUUAGAAUUAUCUACUUUGCUUUUGGGCCUAGUGGUGCAUUUGCUAAGGUCAGUAAUUGUCUACUGGGAACUAUUAAUUAUAGUUCUCACGCCCCCUGUUUGUUAUUUUCUUUCAGAGCCUUCCACCUCGAGAGAGGCUCGGGAUCACGGGAAAGGGAUCGCCUCGAGCUAGUUAGCGAGAGAUUGUGCGAUAGGUGGUCCACCUCUCUUUUUAUUUCAUUUUGGAGAGGUUGAGAGAUCUAUACCAUUUUGUAGAGACCACCAUUUUGGAUAUUAUAGCACUUGUAUUUGAGACUUUUGAUGGAUUACUCUAUGUCUUAUCUUACUGGGUUUCCACCCUUCAUGAGCUUUGUAGUGAAGAAUAUUGAUUAAAAAUGUGGAUUUGCAAGCUAGCUAAAUACUAAUUGGUCAUAGUCACAAUUCUCCAAAUGUUGGUGGAUUUGAUUAGUUGAAUAAGAAGUUAAUUAAAAAUAAAAAAAAACUAAUUGGUAGAAGCUCUUUACGACAACAUCAUUCCUUUUCCAUUCAUUGUUUCAGGAGGGUAUAUUUAGGGUUGUAGCCGCAAUACUUCAUAUAGGAAAUAUCGACUUUUCAAAGGGGACAUAUAUAAAUAGAUUCAUCUGUAAUAAAGGAUGAGAAAGCAAGGUUCCAUUUGAACACAGCAGCAGAACUUCUAAUGUAUGUCGAUUUCAUUCCAGCACCAUAGGCCAUUUUUUUUCUAUAAUUUCCGAAAGCUAGAUGUUUGUAGUUUAUUAUUCAUGUAAUUCAUCAGCUAAUGUUUUUGCAGGUGUGAUAGCGAGAAACUAGAGAAAGCACUGAUAACACGUGUGAUAGUAACACCAGAAGGAGUUAUUACUAGAACGCUUGACCCUGCUUCUGCAAUUGUUAGCAGGUAUGGAUUAGCAAAAACAAUAUACUCCCGGUUGUUUGAUUGGUAAUGUGUUUGAUUAUAUAAGAUUAGUUCCUACACAAAUUAAAGAGUAUUUCGUUAUUGAUGCAAAGCAAGAAAUUUUAUUCCUCUUUUGUUAGAAACUGACUAUUAAUGAAUCCUAUGGAUGAAAACAGUGACUGGAAAAGCUAUAGGUAUUUAUUGCAAUUAAGUUUAGUGAUAUCUGUUAUUUGUAUUUAUUACACUAAAAAGCCCAGUGGUUAGGCAACAAUUAUAUAAAUAGAUAAAAAAGUGAUUAAUAUAAACAAACAGAGCAUAUGCAUGAAUAUCCAAAGCUAAUUAAAAAUGAAAAAAAAAAUCAAAAAAAUGAUCAAAACUUACCAAAAGAAAGUAGUGAGAAAGAAGGAAAGUGGACGAACGAUUCCUCCCAAGCGGCGAUCGUGUGCGGCUCGGAGAAGGUCCUCCUAAGCGGCGAUCGCGUGUGACACGACGAAGGUCCUCUGUAAGGUACCGGACUUCUAAAAUUAUGAAGUUACGGUGUACAUUUAAAUAGUUCCGGUGAGGUUGCGGUGGAAUGUAACAUACCGGAUUUUAAAUAUAAAAGAGAAAAAUAAAUAAAAAUAGUAUGAGAUACUAUUUUGUUGGAUUUAGAGAAGUGAAAUAUCGGUUGGGAACGACCUGUGCUGAAAUCGGAGCGAAAACAGAAGAUUUAGAAUUUUCUGUUGGAAACGGGACUGAUAAAUUAGCAGAAAAUGUACAGUCUCAGAAAAUUAUAAAAAUUGGCGGGGAUGUUAGAAAUAUUUGUAUGAGGCUAGAUUUAAAGUUUCAUAUUUUUCUGACACCCGUAGAGUGAGAAAUAAAAUCCGAAAGUUAUCUGAUAAAGAUUACAGUUCGGCACAGCUUUCGGUGACCAAACGGGGUCGAAACUGAAAUAUUAAAAUUUCUUUGGACUCUUUAAGUAAAACCGAAUAUGACUGUCAGAUUUGAGCUCAAACGGAUAUUCAAGGAGCUGCGAAAGAUAUCAGAUUUGGAACUCUGAUUUGAUGUGAAUGUUUAUGUAUAUUGACAGGUUGUUGACUAUAAGUAAGAAGGUACUAGCUUCUUCCUUUCACGCCGGACCAUCCACCCUAACAAGCACACGUUCACAUGGGAAUCGAGCGUCGGUGUAGUGAUGAGAACCAUCCUUUUUCUCUCUCUAAAUAUCGUUCUCAGUCUCUCAUAUAUUUCUGCCCAAAUUGCGGCGGGUGGGUGGAGAUCGAGUUGUGAACUCCUUUUGGAGGCGCCGGAUGAAGCGUUUCGUACGCGCGUUGGAGCGGCGUGUUUUCGUCUUUUGCGGGUUCACUUGGGGUAAGCUUUUGAGGAUUUGCUUUAAUCUUAGCUUUAAAGUGUUCUGUAGCCUCUAAUGAAUCUUUGUUUGGCAUGUUGAUCCAUUUUAUAUUGGAAUUAUUUGGAGGGUUAAUUGUACGUUAGGGCACUCAAAUUGCAACGUUUUUAAAAAUAUGACGGGUUGGAUCUCAUUUUGCUUUCAGUAACUAAUUGUAGUAACGAAAAAGGUUGGCGAAGACGGUUCCGAGUAAUCCGACGAGCGUUACAGAAGUUAUUAAAGAGAAUAGACGUUUAGCUUCGGCGUCUGUGCGGGAGGGCCAAGGCCAGACGUCGUAAAUCAUGAUAAUGGAUUUAAUGGCAUCGUGGCACGUAACGAAGACUAUAAUUUUCGGGGGGUCGCGAAGCGGAAACACGUGGGCGCAGUUGAGUAUCGGGCGGCGGAUACGGGUGGCGAAAGGGCCAAUUUGCAGAGUGCUCACAAGCAAUCGGAACGCGAAUGGAGGUGGGUUGUGCUUACGAAUGCGACUAUGUCGCCUUGUCUUUAGCAUUAUCUCUAUUGAUUGCAUGUGCAUGUAGGACAAGACUAAAUGGUGAUAAUAAUAUGCAAUUAAUGUAAAGGCUAAUGUGAAGAAUGGGCAUGUACAACGAUUGCAGCUGACUAAAAUAUAGCUAAGUAGCGCAAGGGUGAGAAUGUAAUUGCUAGUAAUGUUAAGAGUGAUAUUAAUAAUAAGUUGCAUAGAUAGAAAUGUCAAUGUAUGAUGAGGAAUUAGAUGAGUAUCUCGUAGUAAGCCGAGUGAUGGACAAAUAGGAGUUGCUCAAGGUAUAAUGAGUGGCAUUCACUAGUGGUAAAGAAUCAUAGUGUGAUGUGAACAUAGUUUGGAAAAGAAGAAUGAUCUAUGUGUAAAUAAACUAGGUUUAUAGAAUGUGAAGCAUAAAUAAUGGGUGACUUUAGGGUUGAGGUAAGGGUUAGUAUCCUAGCAGAUAAGUUUCCAUUAGGGUUGAAGACCAACCCUUGUGAUGAUGAAAUGCGAUUCCGGAAUCCCAAGGCUAUAGGAUUACACCAAAGUAGGUUGUUGAGGGUGUGCGACGAUUUCGCGCCAAAGGGCUAAAGAACAUUGUACGUGGCAGUGUGCGUACGAUUUCGCGCCGGAAUGGUUAGCCAGUUGUGGUUAUCUACGCUGUUGACUGAACACUGUCGUCGCGUUUUGCGCGAUUUCAGCCGGCCGUGGUGGCUAAGUCAUGGACUAGGGCCGAUUGUUUGAGAUGAGUGCAUUAGUUCGCCGCCAGACGGCUAGGACAGGAGUACGGUGAGCUGUUGCCAGCUGAGGUACAUGUGAGAGUUCCUUCACCUCGAGCUAGACAGUGUGCUGACUAUCCGCGAUUGAUCGACUCAAGACCGAGUCGGGUGGCAUAGAGAAGUAAGGUAAGAGAAACCUUAGGAAAGAAUGGCCAGUGAAAAAGUGCAACAAAGUGUAAAGAAUAAAGAAUAAGUAAAGAAUAAAGAUCGGCUAAGGAAUAAGAAUAGCUGAUAAAGUAAAGAAAGGUUACAAGUAAAGAAUAGCUAAGAGCUAAAUGUAAACAUUAAAUGAUAAGAGUAGCGUUAAAGUAACCUACUUGCAUGAUUACAGGUAUUGCAUAUUGCAUUUCGUGAGGCAUGAUAUGUAUUUCAAUUAAAUAUAUAUCUGUUGUAUAUUGUUGAACUAACAUGUUGCAGUGCCUCCUCGGACCUAUCGGUC
rnacentral:lncRNA from 1 species